AGGCGGUUGCUCCAGGCGGCCGCCGCCCUCCCCCGGCCCAAUGGCUCGGCUGCCGCGUCAGUAAUGUGAAGCAGAGCUCGGGCUUGUCCGGCCCCCGGCCCGCAGCCCAUUACACCAUCCGCCGAGGCAGCCGCUGCGGCCCGAGCAGCCUGAGAGGGCGGGAGGCGGCUCGGCGGGGCGGGGCGAGGCGAGCAGCGCGGCCGGAUUCAUUCCUGUGGGGCGCGGGGCAUGGAGGAGCUGUGCGGCCGCAGGCGGAGCAGGGCGGCUGGGGCGGCGGCAGGGACAACGGUUUCCAUUUGAAGGGGGGCGGCCCGAGCCCGAGCGGCUGCCGGCGGCGGGAGCACUGACCCCGGGCAGUUUGCAGCCCUACUUGUCAGAUGUUGAAAUGCAGUAGGACGGAACAUCCUCCCCGUGGCUUUAUAUCUGUUCUGGGGUGCAGUGACUGACAUUGAACUUGGGUCUGGUAGAGUUAAGCUGGAGCGUCGCCUUGUAGGAUCAAUAAUACAGCGCAGCCUGUGACAGGACAUCGAUGGAUCUAAAGACAGCAGUGUUCAACGCAGCGCGGGAUGGCAAACUCCGGCUUCUCACCAAAUUGUUGGCAAGCAAAUCCAAAGAGGAGGUUUCCUCCUUGAUCUCCGAGAAGACCAACGGGGCCACGCCACUCUUGAUGGCUGCCAGGUAUGGGCACCUGGACAUGGUGGAGUUCCUCCUGGAGCAGUGCAGUGCCUCCAUAGAGGUCGGGGGCUCCGUCAACUUCGACGGCGAGACCAUCGAGGGGGCGCCGCCUCUGUGGGCCGCGUCCGCAGCAGGACAUCUGAAGGUGGUACAGUCUUUGUUAAAUCAUGGGGCAUCUGUCAACAACACGACUUUGACCAACUCGACUCCUCUUCGCGCCGCGUGUUUUGAUGGUCAUUUGGAAAUAGUGAAGUACCUCGUAGAGCACAAAGCUGAUUUGGAAGUGUCAAACCGGCACGGGCACACGUGCUUGAUGAUUUCCUGUUACAAAGGACAUAAGGAGAUUGCUCAGUAUUUACUUGAAAAGGGGGCAGAUGUCAAUAGAAAAAGUGUUAAAGGUAAUACUGCAUUGCAUGAUUGUGCAGAGUCUGGAAGUUUGGACAUCAUGAAGAUGCUUCUUAUGUAUUGUGCCAGGAUGGAAAAGGAUGGCUAUGGAAUGACUCCUCUUCUCUCAGCAAGUGUGACUGGCCACACAAAUAUUGUGGAUUUUCUGACACACCAUGCACAGACCAGCAAGACAGAACGUAUCAAUGCACUAGAGCUUCUGGGAGCUACAUUUGUAGACAAAAAAAGAGAUCUACUUGGGGCUUUGAAAUACUGGAAAAAGGCAAUGAACAUGAGAUACAGUGACAGGACUAAUAUAAUUAGCAAACCAGUGCCACAGACACUAAUAAUGGCUUAUGAUUAUGCCAAGGAGGUAAACAGUGCAGAAGAGCUGGAAGGUCUUAUUGCUGACCCUGAUGAGAUGAGAAUGCAAGCACUGUUGAUUAGAGAACGUAUUCUCGGUCCUUCUCAUCCUGAUACCUCUUACUAUAUCAGAUACAGAGGCGCUGUCUAUGCAGACUCUGGAAAUUUUAAACGCUGUAUCAACCUGUGGAAGUAUGCUUUGGAUAUGCAGCAGAACAAUUUGGACCCUUUGAGCCCAAUGACUGCCAGUAGCUUACUGUCUUUUGCAGAACUGUUCUCCUUUAUGCUCCAGGAUAGGGCUAAAGGUUUACUGGGUACUACUGUUACAUUUGAUGAUUUGAUGGGCAUACUGUGCAAAAGUGUCCUUGAAAUUGAGCGAGCUAUCAAACAAACUCAGUGUCCAGCAGACCCAUUGCAGUUAAAUAAGGCUCUUUCCAUCAUUUUACACUUAAUUUGCUUAUUAGAAAAAGUUCCUUGUACUCUAGAACAGGACCAUUUCAAGAAGCAGACUAUCUACAGAUUUCUAAAGCUGCAUCCACGGGGGAAGAAUAACUUCAGCCCUCUUCAUCUGGCUGUGGACAAGAAUACUACAUGUGUGGGGCGGUACCCUGUUUGUAAAUUUCCAUCUCUGCAAGUUACCGCGAUUCUCAUAGAAUGCGGUGCUGAUGUGAAUGUCAGAGACUCUGAUGACAACAGUCCCCUACAUAUUGCUGCUCUGAACAACCAUCCAGACAUCAUGAAUCUCCUUAUUAAAUCAGGUGCACAUUUUGAUGCUACAAACUUGCACAAACAAACUGCUAGUGACUUGCUGGACGAGAAGGAAAUAGCUAAAAAUUUGAUCCAGCCCAUAAAUCAUACCACAUUGCAGUGUCUUGCUGCUCGUGUCAUCGUGAAUCAUAGAAUAUACUAUAAAGGGCAUAUCCCAGAAAAGCUAGAGACCUUUGUUUCACUUCAUAGAUGAUAAUCUGACUGUAUUUUAACACUGUUAAAGCACGAAUUGGUAACAGUUGUUUCAUAAAUGAGCACUGUUGUGAUAACACCAGCAUUCAUUUAGCUUGAUACAUUGUGCUCUCAUUGGCUAACACAUUUUAAGCAUCAAAUUUACAGGGUUGGUUUCCCAGUAUUUAAUAUAAAUAUACCACAUAAUAUAUUGUUUGUGAAUUAUUGAGAAAUGUAAUGUCAUACCCAAAUUUCUAAAAAUGUCUGCCAAAGGCUUAUUCAUUCUGGUUUUGUUUGCUGUUGAGUGUUUGGGACAGAGUUAACUUUUUCAGUGGUGUCUUUAUACUUGCUAGUUUGUGAAUUUUAUACAAAUUGAAAGUCCUUUUUUCCUGCUUCUUCCUUCUCCAAGCUUCGCCCCUGUUUCUACUUUUUUCCCUGACCAUUUCUACCACAGUUUUUCCCCUUAUUGACCCAUACUAGGUCAUACAAAUUUUAUGAACUUGUUACCAUUUGCAGUUACCAUAAGUGCUUUAUCUUCUCUAUGCACCGGCUUAAACUUGACUGUUGUAUGUUAGCAUAAUUUCUAUGCAGCAGUUGGUCAACUUCAACUAAAAACACUGUUUUCUUAAGUUUGUUACAAAGUUCAUUUUAUGAAAGUACUCUUGUAGCAUGAGAAGUUUUAGAGCUGCAGGUUAGAGCUCAAGUUUUUUUUGGUUUUGGCUUUUCUUCACAUCCGAGGUUUCUUUCUCUAAUCCACAGAAAUUUUUGUGUGCUAAAUUUGGGAAACUAUUACAACUCAUUAACCCAGUUGAAAUUUAGGUCUGUCAUCUUAAUAUAUCAUGCAAAAGGAAGACUCUUUCUAAAGUGACCCGCCUUUCAUGCUGCUCCAGCGUUGUCCUGCUUGUGCUGAUGGUGUGACUAGGUGUAGAGAAUUUGCUUCAAUUUAACCUUAAAGUAUCACACAGCUUAACAAGUCACAUUGAAAUAUUCAGUCAUUGAACUGCAAAUCACUUUUACUUACAAAAAGAGCUAAAGCAUGUCAGUGGCAUGAUGCUUGCCAAGCCAGAUCUAGGCAUCUAGGAUAAUUAAGGCAUUUUAGAACUCAAAUUAUGCUGUAGUAUCAAAGGUCAGUAACAGUGUUUUUUUUUCUUCAAGUUUAUGUAUACCUUUUAAAGAUAACUUGCAUGAAUUACUUUGGUCUCAAUUAUUUGUCACCCCAAUUAAACACAAAAGGUUGCACAGUGCUUUCUGUUCCCUCACUGAAAGUUAGCUUUUCUUUCUUCCCUCCUCCUUCCCUCUACAGAUGUGCUAAUGCCACAGAAAGGGCUCUUUUAACUUAAGAAAAGAUUACUGAAAAGUACUAAAAAAGAUUCAGUGUUUGAGAUGAAGUUUCAGAAGUAUAUGUAGUAAUAUGUAUUGCAAUGAAGCCUGGGCACUGAGGAAGAUGGUGAAGAGGAGGAGACCACAGUCUGUGAUAUGUGAUGUAGCUACAAGAUACGGAGUGCUGAGGGCUGAGGAACUGGAAGAGAGGAACAGAUCUGUGUCUUUAGAGCCUCUGGGAGGGGCCAACCCUGGCUGCACUUGGAUUUCAACCUCUACAACUGUGAGAGAAUCAUUUUUAUUUUUAUUUAUUUAUUUUUGGUGGUCCUGGGGCUUGAACUUAGGGUCUCAGCUUGCUAGGCAGGUGCUCUACCACUUGAGCCACACCCCCAACCCUUUUUGGCUAUAUUUAGUUUUUGGAUAGGGUUUCCUGGUUUUGCCUGGGGCCAUGCCUCUCAUAUAUCUGGGAUUAUAGUUGCAUGCAUCCACACCCAGCUUAUUUGUUGAGAUGGGAGUCUCACUCACUUUUUGCUGGGGCUGUCCUUCAACCUCCAUCCUCCUGAUCACCUCCUAAGUAGCUGAAUUGUAAGUAUGAGCUCCCAGCUCCUUAAGUUUUAAGUUACCAAACCUGUGGUAAUUUGUUAUGGGAUCCUCAGGAAACAAAAGUAACAUAUAUUGGGCUUAUUUUUAAAUGAAUGAUCCAAUAAAUCUCAAUUUAUCAUUUAAAAAAUUUAAUUUAAAAACUUUUCAGUUUUUGAGAUUUUGAUACCAAGAAAUAUGGGAAUCACUGCUUUAAAAAAAACUCAGGUGCAGGCUUAUCAGGAUGCAAAUACAGAAAUACUUAUGACUCAAAGCCAUAUAGUAGUCCCAGCUGGAAGUACCCCAAAUUUGAGUGUACUCACAAAACCUGACAGCACAGCAAUGAUAAUGAACAGAUUAUAACUAUGUAGGACCACAUAGGGAAACCUUACAAACAUUCAACUAAAAGAAGCCAGAUGGGAAAGUAAUCAUAGUGCCUGACAACAGGCACACUAUGUAAUCCCAUUUGACCCACCGCAUGGUGAAGCUAUUACCAAAAAAAAAAAAAAGGAACCAACCCCAGCAACACCUUUAUUUUGAACUUGUGGCUUUCCAGGACAGAAUAAAUUUCUGUUCUUUAAGCUGUCAAAUUUGAAGUAUUUGUUAUGAUCAUACUGGGAAAAUGAUGCAUCUUAACAGCUAUACUUAGCGCAGCUUAGAGUGGCCUAACUCUUGUCACACAAAUCCAAGGCGUUUGUGAAUUUGCUUUUAAACCUGUCCCCACCCCCAUGGACUGCACUCAAAUGUUUUGCUGGUAGCACUACUCAUUACUUGUACCCAAUUCUGUGAAAAAUUUUAUUUUUUCUAAAGUAUUUCCUUUAAUAUUCUUCUUCGGGAGGCAGGGGAAAGAGGGUAGUGUGUGUGUUAAACUACGUGACACUGACACUUUUUUUCCUAAGGGUUUGGAAGAUAAUUCUUUUUUUUUUGAGGUACUAGGGAUUGAGCGCCUCCAGCUCUACCACUUGAACCAUGCCCACCCCUUGUCUUUGAGCCUGUAGUGCUGCUGUGUUCUGUCUUUCUUCGUUCCAGCAUGGAACACAAAGUGGCCUGAAGCAACCUCUACUGAGGCCACAAUUUGGGACUGAGAACUGUUGGAGCCACUGAGCCUGUCUCCAUUCUGUAGUCACAGACUGUCAGCCCAGCUCAAGAGAAACUGCAGCAGAAAAAGUGAUGAAGAGUAUCCCUCAGUUCCCAGGCCGCCAAUCAAUUCACUCAUCUAUGGCUUCUGAGAUAUUUAAAUUGCCAACACUUUAAUGGAAGACUGGAGACCUGGGACAUAUGGUAGCCACGUGAUGCGGGAAAGCACACAGGUCCCGCUGACUUGCUCCAGACAGCUGUGCCCUGGGGUGCUGGUGAGAAUGCAAUCCUGCAUGUGGCUGAGCCAGCUCAAACUCUGCUCCUGGGUACAAUUAGAAUGGAAUACCAAAAAGGAAUUUUAGACAAAGACAGAAUUGAAAUAUUGACAAUGUUAAAAACACUGGAGACAAGUCAGCAGAACAAGAGGACAGAAGAACAGCAUGGCUACCUUCAGUAAUGGAGAGUUCAUCUGGAAUUUCAAAUCCUGGCCUUUCUUAUUCAGUAUGCCACCUCAUCUCCUGUAGGAUGAGCUCACGGAAAAGCUGGGGCUCUUCCUCUCCACCAGCGUUCCUGUACAGGAGCAAGACUCCUUGCCAUUCUCUGUGCAGGUCCCUGUUUGGGCACCACCUCUCUUGUGCAUCUCGCAUGAGCUCAUCCUAGUAAUCUAACUGGAGGCGAUGGGAGAUGCAGAAAGAACAAAAGACAGAAGACAGCACAUGCCCAGAGCUGGGGCCAGGUCCAAUCCAGCAAUGUGCACUUCAUCUGCUGUGCUGAAGGGUCAAGGCCAUGCAACCUUGUUCGGGGAGAGAGGCCAAGUCUACAGCAAACAAGGAGAUACUUCCCAAAGUGUGAGCCCCCCAGAGAAGAGCUGGCAGCUGAAGCAGGUAAAGUAGGAGUGGCAGAAACAAGGAUGACCUUGCACCUUCUAAAAGGAAUGGCUUCUACUCAACCCCAUGCAAGCACUGCCACCAGAGUGGAAAUUGUGUGUUAUCUGGUAAUGUGAUUACCUAAGGGAUGUCAAAACUCAAAUCACUAUGGGAAGACCUAUAGGAAGGAUUUGGCAGAAGGUAUAGAUUUUAGAAGUGCAAUCUAUAAUGAAGUGUAGGACAUAGUGGGUUUGAAGCCAUGUAAAAUAUGCAUAAGACCUCCUUGAUACUCCGGGUCCUCUGUGUAGCGAAAAAAAACUGUAUCUCAUGGGUGCAAGCCUCUCUGAAGAAAAUAAAUGAUGCUAAUUUUGGUUAAUCAAGAGGCAUUGGCUUGUAUUUAAUCACAAUGUUUCCUUAUUUUAAUUCCUAGAAAAAAAAAGGGGGUGGCUGAAGAGGGUUCAAACUUUUCAUUGAUUUCACUUUUAUCAUGCUUUUGAAUCCUAUCAGAUAUAUUUUUAGAAGCCUGUAAAUGAAUGGAGCUUGGUGAAUACAAGGUAACUUCCUGAAACUUCAACCCUGGUUAUUUCUGUCUUGCUGUUUUCAAAGGCAUCCGAGCCCACAAAGCAAAGGCAAAAGGGAACAAAUAACAGAGGUGAAAAGCCAGUCCCUGUACGUAGGAGGUAGGCUUUCAUGGAACAUGUGAUUAUGUGGCAGGAGGGAUGGAUGUGAAUCAUGAAAUUGUACAGCAGUUUUUUUCCCUAGGAGAAACGGUUCAAUGAAACAGACCAACCUGUCAUCAAAAGUGACAUAAAUGCUGCAGGACUCACCAUCCCUCUUUUCUACGUAGCCAUUGGCACCAGCAUGCAGUCCAGAAAAGUGGGAAGCAGGAGGAGGGGCAGGUCCUCCCACCAAUGCACUGGACCUACUCAUCUGGUCUGGAAAGGAGAUGGGUCUGCUGUUUGUGGAUGAACAGCAAGGAGCAGGGGGCAGCUCUGAGUCUCUCUCCAACUGAGGCAUGGUGGGUUUUAAUAAGACCUGCUGGCUUUCUUAUAGCGGGAAGGGAAUUUGGGUCCCCAGAAAUGACCAACAUCCUCUGAAUCACCACAGGGGAGAGGUGACAAGGGAUAAUGGCCUUUGCUAGAGCAGGUGCCAAGAGUCCAGCUUCACUGGGACGGAGCAUCAAUCUCUCCACUAAGACUUCUCAAAGUCUAUACCAUGGUCGCUCAAGAAAAUUCCCGGGGAAAAGCUGAGCAUGGCUCAGCUCUCCAUUUUCUCAGACGUUUGAUCCCAGUUGAAAAAGGAAAUCUCAUUGAUUUGGAGUUAGUCCUCACAUCUACUUCAAGAAAGAUGUCGCAGGAUAUUUAAAGGUGUCAUGCGUUAGGUACGAAGCACUAUGGGCAUUUUCUAAUCUUUGCAUCAGGCAUAAUGAAGAAGGAAACAGCAGGAUCUUACACAGAGAAGGAAGAGCCACCUUUAUUUUCCACAUUUGAUUUACAGCUUUGCCUUUCUACACCCACGUACCUCCUGAGCUUUAAGAAAACAACUGAAAAUCUCAGUCUUCAAAGGAGAUUUGAAGUCCAAGCAACAGUCUUAGCUGAAGGAGAAAGAGCUUUGCACAGGGAGUCAGGAAACUUGGGGUCUAGAUUCCUUCAGCCACUGACUGACCAGUCUGGGAACUUUGUGUUCCUCACUCUCUGCUAUGAUUUGCUCUCUGAUGCAAACAGAAGCUGGCCUUAACUCCUGACUCCUUCCUGGUUCUACUGCUGCUUUAAAACUUUUCCUUGGGAAUCCGAGAAGGCCUUAUAUAACUCCCUAGGCUGAGUCCAUGUAGGGUAAGCACAGGAGCUGCAGCUGUGCUCCCCGUGCUUUCCCUGUUGAACUAGUCAAGUGGGAACAGUGUGUUCAGACAGAGUGGGAGAACUCAUAGAAUUCAUCAUCCUGAGGUUACAGGCCUCAGACCAGGGCUGCCAUCCAGCCUGGGACUUAACAGAGAAAACAACCCUGGGUGUGAUCAAAAGGCAUCCUGAGGGAGACCUAAACCCAAGAGAUCCCAGCUCUGUCUCUGCUAGGAACCCUUACAGACCUUGGGCCAAUCCCAUACCUCUCUGGGACAUUGUUCCCAUAUAUGUAUGAAGUUAGGGUAAUAAAGUCAUCCCUGCCUCUCCACAUUUGUGUGUGUAUGUGUGUGUGUGUGUGUGUGUGUGUGUGUGGAAUAGGGGGACUUGAAUCCAGGGCUUGCUAACUUUGUUUGCCCCAGCUGGCCUUGAACUCAGAAUUUUCCCACCUCCCAAGUAGCUGAGAUUACAAGCGUGCACCACUACCCUGCCCUGCUCUCCCUGUUAUUUUGAUAAGGUCGAAAAUACAUAUAGAAGUAAAAAAUUUUGACACAGAGACAGAAGGAUGUUGAUCAGCUUUGAAAGUUGUUCUGCCCUGUUCAGGGCGUGGGAGGAAGCAGGGACUGGUGAAUUUCAGCACGGGGUGAGGGCAGAGAGG